rnacentral:lncRNA from 1 species
AUCUUGAAGGGAGCGUGUUCGUGCGAGUAAUAGUUAAUCAUUUACAUUAUUCUUUCAGCUUGUGUACUAGUGUAUUUAUUCUAGCAGUCCUUGACUAGUGCUUUGUCGUUCGUGAACGAUUCGUUCUUUUGAACGACUCUUUUUAGUGAACGUACUCAGUUGCAGAAAUUAUUCGUUCGUUUAUACCGAUCCCUCAAGAAGAAAAAAAUGGGAAUGUGCUUGUCAUCGAAAGGACCCCUUAGAAAAAUUCCCUAGAAUUUGUGAUAAUCAUUUUCAAGAAAAUGAUAAUAAAAGGUGAAGUGCUGGGAUUACUUUUAAAAUGAAAAUUGAAAGAAGAUGCUAUUCAUUCAAGAGUUCUUAUACCAGGAGAAGGAUUUGAGCAAGCUCUAAGAAAAAAAUAAAAUUGUGGACCAUUUUGAAGAAAAUUCUAAUCACAUAUAUUUUGGGACAUUUGACAAAUCAUCCCAAAGCAAUGUAAAAUCAACUCAAACACUUGUGGUAGAAAAGAUUAACGCGUCUAAUCAAGCAUGUGUAUCUUGGAAUAUAGAAAUAAUAAAAGCUUUUAAUACCAGAAAAGAUCCACUCAUUAUAGAACUCGACUCACUAAGGAAACAGAAUGCAAAUUUACAAGAAAAAGUGAAAAUCCUUCAAUCGGAAAAUAGAUUAUUAAAAUCCAAAUCUAAAUUUAAGGAAGAUAUGAAAGGAAAACAUGAAAAGAAGUUGUCUAAAUCUCACUGUAAACUCAUCAUUUGUGGAAGAGGGUCGGAAAAUGAGAUAGGGAGGAUAUUUUUAAAUGACUGAUACUGAAGUUUCUUUCCUCAAAAGCCUACCGUUACAUUCAAUCCAAAGGUCGAUUUCCGGUUCGUAAUGUAACAAUCCUCAAACCGUGGAUACAAAAUUUUAAAACAGCUUCUAGAAUACAAUCAAAAUUAUCACUUAAUAAAUCAAAUUCAACGAAACUACAAAUGGAAAAUUGGUUGUCUUGUGCUUUGAUGAGAUGAAGACAAAAUAAGAAGUGUCAUACUUUAUUAUAUACCAAACAAUUUAUGGUCGUACGAAAAAUAUAAAGGUACUCAAUGGUAGCUCUUUUUAAUCUGGGAUAUUUUUAAAUUGUGUGUGGGAUAUUACUCUACCGAAGAACUAGGAUCUUCAAACAAAUCAAUUAAUUACAAAUAAUACAGUUAUUUGGAACUAUUAAGUGAUUAUAUGUUUUACAAAAUACAUAAGAGACCUAUUAACUUCUUUCGAAAUAUCGGAAUGCUAUUGCAAUUUCCAAACUUACUGAGUCGGAAAUCUUUUUCUAAACAGCCAAAUUACUUGUCACCAUAUUAGAAUAUUACUCUUACAAAGAUAUAGGAUCUCAAAAAAAAAAAAAAAUAAUAAUAAUUGUUUGCCACACUAUCUAAUUAUAAAUAAUUUUACUGAAAACAGUAGUUAAAAUGUAACAACAUAAUAAUGCGCUUGUUUUACUUUUGAUUGAAAAAAUAGUAGAAAAUAAAUUAUA